GCCAGUGUGGUGUAGUGGUUUGGGUGUUUGACUAUGACUCUGGGGACCAGGGUUCGAAUCCUGGCUUGGUCA
rnacentral:tRNA from 1 species